AGUUUUAUUUAGCUAAGUAAGGUUUUUCCUCAUGUACUCUAACAGCUGGCUAGAGAUGCCAGAAACCCUCGUGUCUAUUUUUAAACAUAGUAGUUAUUAUUAACUUCCGUUAGAUACCCACUGAUCAUUCCCGCAAAAUUAAAAUUUUUGUAACAAUUAGAAUACAUUCGAUUCUUUUGAUUUUCAGUAAGUGAUUAUUCAUCUGUGUGACUAUAGCUAUUUUUAUAAAGCUAUAAAUGUUGUCAGACUAUUCAGGGAUGUAAAAGCAGGAAGAGACUGUGGCAGUUUAAGCUACCGAACCAAAUUAAACGCCAAUUAGAAUCUGUUUAGAGAGAUAUGGAUCCUAGGCAGAAUAGUAUAGCAAAAAAAUCAACAUUCUUCAAGUUUACUUACAAGUUUACAAAAAUUCCAUGUCCCUGCGAUGUUCUGAAGUACUCUUCGAUCGGUACGCCGUUCUGAGAUACUUGGAGGUGAUUGCCCUGAAUUACCAAAAUCUCAAGACCGAAGUAAAACCCUGAACCAAGCUCUGGUACAGGUCCGAUAUACUUAAUGACUGCUU
rnacentral:lncRNA from 1 species